ACUAUCAUUCUGAUCCGAUUGCAUCCACGUGCACUCGGUCGACAUGGGCCUUCAGCACUGAUCGCCUCGAAUUGCUCGCGAUUGUCGUGGUAGACAGGGGUGUGGCAGCAAUGCCGUCCAGUGUUGUCGACGAUCAACCCGUGC
rnacentral:misc_RNA from 1 species